rnacentral:rRNA from 1 species
UGCCUUAGUAACGGCGAGUGAAGCGGCAACAGCUCAAAUUUGAAAUCUGGCUCUUUCAGAGUCCGAGUUGUAAUUUGCAGAGGGCGCUUUGGCUUUGGCAGCGGUCCAAGUUCCUUGGAACAGGACGUCACAGAGGGUGAGAAUCCCGUACGUGGUCGCUAGCUAUUGCCGUGUAAAGCCCCUUCGACGAGUCGAGUUGUUUGGGAAUGCAGCUCUAAAUGGGAGGUAAAUUUCUUCUAAAGCUAAAUAUUGGCCAGAGACCGAUAGCGCACAAGUAGAGUGAUCGAAAGAUGAAAAGCACUUUGGAAAGAGAGUCAAACAGCACGUGAAAUUGUUGAAAGGGAAGCGCUUGCAGCCAGACUUGCUUGCAGUUGCUCAUCCGGGCUUUUGCCCGGUGCACUCUUCUGCAGGCAGGCCAGCAUCAGUUUGGGCGGUGGGAUAAAGGUCUCUGACACGUUCCUUCCUUCGGGUUGGCCAUAUAGGGGAGACGUCAUACCACCAGCCUGGACUGAGGUCCGCGCAUCUGCUAGGAUGCUGGCGUAAUGGCUGUAAGCGGCCCGUCUUGAAACACGGACCAAGGAGUCUAACAUCUAUGCGAGUGUUUGGGUGUCAAGCCCGAGCGCGUAAUGAAAGUGAACGGAGGUGGGAACCCGCAAGGGCGCACCAUCGACCGAUCCUGAAGUUUACGGAAGGAUUUGAGUAAGAGCAUGGCUGUUGGGACCCGAAAGAUGGUGAACUAUGCUUGAAUAGGGUGAAGCCAGAGGAAACUCUGGUGGAGGCUCGCAGCGGUUCUGACGUGCAAAUCGAUCGUCAAAUUUGGGCAUAGGGGCGAAAGACUAAUC